rnacentral:rRNA from 1 species
AUACGGAGGGGGCUAGCGUUGUUCGGAAUUACUGGGCGUAAAGCGCACGUAGGCGGACUGAUCAGUUGGGGGUGAAAUCCCAGGGCUUAACCCUGGAACUGCCUCUAAUACUGCCAGUCUUGAGUUCGGGAGAGGUGAGUGGAAUUCCUAGUGUAGAGGUGAAAUUCGUAGAUAUUAGGAAGAACACCAGUGGCGAAGGCGGCCCACUGGCCCGAUACUGACGCUGAGGCGCGAAAGCGUGGGGAGCAAACAGGAUUAGAAACCCCAGUAGUCC